rnacentral:lncRNA from 1 species
GAAUUUCAUCGCCUAAAAUGACAACCAGAGCGUCUGGACGAAUAGGAACUUUUACCCAGCCAAAUUCAUCGUUAAAAACUUCAAGCCCAGGCACUUGGUCAUCUUGAAGUAAAAUUGUAAUAGACGAUGAAUCUGAAUGGGGUUUCAGACCCAGUACAAGAUCAGGUUUAGAGCAAAGAGGGUAAUAGUUAAAUCGCCAAGUAAUUAAUCCUUUCGUUCCGUUGUUAACGAAGUAAAACUCAUCCAAUCCCAAGCUCCUUGCUACUGCUUUGAAGAUCUCAUCCAUUAUAAUCAUCACCUUUUCGUUAAACUCAAACAUCUUCUCCCUAACAACAAAAAAUAAAAUCGAAUUUGAUCAAUAAUCAUGAGAAAUGUUCGUUUAAUUUGCGUAUAUACUUGAAUGAUUCUGGUUUCUGUGGGCAAAGAUCUAUCUUCCUCCCCUCUUCUGGGUAAACAUUGAGAUACAACAUAUCAUUCCAAUCGAGUAUCUGUUCAUCUGAUAAUAAAGGAUCGCUGCCAUAUCCCUCUUUAAACUCAUAAAUCUUCGAAUCAGAAGUGUAGUUCUGUUUCUCUUUGGGUGGUAGUUUGAAGAACAACCUCUGAACGUUUCGAACCUCGUCGAUAAGAGAAGUUGGUAUUCCAUGCCCAAUUACCUGACCGCGAUAAAUAAAUAUAUACAUAUAACUUGAGUAGUUUGAUGGACUGAAAAAUGAAUGGAUUAAUGUUUAUUUCUACAUGAAAUAACUACCUGAAAUAAACCCCAAAAAUAUCUCUUUGUUGUCUUGCCACACUUCUAGUGUUAGAUUGUAUAUCAGACUCAACUCUCAUAGUUUGGGGUACUGAGCUACUUAUCUCAGUUGACUCUGAGAUUAUAGUCAUUGAGUCAUUUGUAGAGUUGUUCUGUGAAGCAGAUUUCAGCUUGGAAUCUUCGACUUGCCUCUGGUCAAAAUCCUUCGAUUUAACGUAGCUGAGGUCGAUGAUAGGAAUUCUACCAAGAGGAGAUUCUAAAUUUGGCCGAUCGGAUUCAUUUCGGAUGAAACGCUUGGUCGGUGAGCCGUUGUUCUUCAAUGCAAUCUCUUGAACCCUUUCGAUUAAAUCCGCCAUGAUCUGCUAGCUUCACUUUACUUCGUUUUUCUGUUUCAAUAACAACAUAUACACAUCACGGGUCCUGUAAUUAUUUUCAAUUAUUGAAGUAGUUGGGAAUAGUGAGUUAGCAAUAUUAUAAUAUAUAUAGUGAGUUAGCAAAUUUCUUAAAAUGACCGGGUCACCAUAAGCGAUUUAAUCAUCUAAUUGUUGAUUUAGGAAUGGGUGCUUCAGAUUAAGCCUGUAAAUGGUAUACUGAAAUCCGUAUUCGGAUACCUAAAUUGAUAUCCGAAUUUUAUUCGGACGGAUUCGGAUAUCCGGAAAAUCCGCCGUUAAAAUCCGAAUUCGUUUAAGAAUUCCGGAUUAGCUUAGUUCAGAUUAAGCGAUCUUCAAAAAAAAGAGGAUGACCUUAUUUUGAAAUUCAUUUUCAAGAAAACAGGGCUACGUACGCCUACGGCCAAAAUCAGUGGCCCUUUGAUCAAAUCUGUGGAGCCACUGGAAUUAGCCACGGGAACGACUGUGGGCGUAGGUCUGGUGGCUACUGAUUUUUAACUCUAAAUAUUAGUCACACAUUUCCCAUAAGCCAUGGUUGUUUUUGGUAAUCAGUUAGGGUUAGGGUGAUUUUUCUUGUAGUGAUUUUUCAUUUUAAUUAUCCUACAUAAAGAUCAAACUAAAGAUAAAAUAUUGAAUCAUAUAUGGUUUUUCCAUUUAACCCAAAUUGAUGAUUACAUAGCUCGAUCGGGGUUUAAUCAAAUUCUCAUCAAAUCAAUAGCUCGUUUCCCUUGUGCGAAUUUCAAAAAGAAAGCAUCUCCGUAAUCUUUCACCUUUAUCUUUUUAUACGAACUAGGUUUUCCUUCUUCUAUCAACUCGUUAAUGGGACCAAGUUCAUUCUCUAGUUCAGAAAGAACAAACAUUGCCAGAGAUAUCCUCUCCUUUUCAGAAUUAGUGACAAUCUUGUGUACGAUACUCUUAUAUCGUCCAUUGCUCAUGAUCUGCAACAAUAAAAACAAUUCAAACGACGAUAGAUCGAUUCAAUUUGAAACGAAAAAUCCUAACCCUAACCCUAACCUUAAAUUAAAUAAUCAAUUUUAAAUCCAUUUAUAAUGAUAAAUGAUAAAAAAAAAGAUCAUAUUGAUCAAUCUACCUUGAUAAAUGAUAUUUAGAAUUAAAGGUUGAUUUCGUACCAUAUUUAAUACUUUAUAAUAAAUAAAGAAGACAAAUAAUGAAUAAAUAUACCUCAAUUUCAUCUCCUAAGACGACAAGUAGAGAAUUAGGAAGAGUUGGAACAUUUAGCCAUCCAAAUUCAUUAUUAAAAACUUGAAACCCAGGUACUUGGUUGUCUUGUAAUAAAAUAGUGAAAGACGAUCCAUCUGAAUGGGCUCUCAUACCAAGUACAAGAUCUGGUGUAGAGCAAGAAGGGUAAUAGUUAAAUCGCCAAACCAUUCUUCCUUUUGUUCCAUUUUUAAUGAAGUAAAACUCAUCCAAACCUAAAGUUCUAGCUAACGCUUUCAAGAUCACGUCUGCUAUAAUCACCAUCUUUUCGUUAAACUCAUAUAUCGUCUCCCUAUAAGUGAAAACAAGUAGUGAUUGAUGCACAAUUUUAAAAAUCCCUUAAAGUUAUCAAUUCACAUGCAUGCCUGAAUGAUUCUGGUUUCUGAGGCCAAACAUCCAUGUCUCGCGUCUCCUUUGGGUAAACAUUGAGAAGCAAUUUUUCGUUCCAAUCGUAAGUAGUCUGUUCAUCGGAUAUAACGACAUCAUCACCAUAUCCUGCUUUAAAAUCUGGAAUCUGUGUAUCAGAAGUAGUGCAACUUUGCUUCUCUUUAAAUGGUUGUUUGAAGAACAACCUUAUGACAUUUCGAACCUCUUCCAUAAGAGAAGGUUGUAUUCCAUGACCCAAAACCUGAUUGAAAAAAUAAGAAUUUGGUGUGCCAAUUACCUAGCUAAUUUGAUGAUUUCAAAUAAACCUACAUGGAAUAAACCCUCAGAUGAUAAAGCAGAUCUGAGCUUGAUGUCUUCAAGUUCUCUUUGGCCUAAAUCAUUUGAUUCUGCAUAGCUGAUGUCGAUGACAGGAAUUUUGGCAAGAGGAGCAUCUAGUAUUGGUCGAUUUGAUUCCUUUUGGACGAAAUGUUCAUGUGGUGAGCCAUUAGCCAUGGAUUCUCUGAUUUCCCUCUUUGAUUUCCUCACCUACCUAAUAUGUAAAGUUAAAUUGUUUUUUGUUUGAUUCCAUAUAAAUUUAUGAUAUAUUUUUUUCGUAAUUCCCGUGAUCCAAUGCACUGCCAUUAUUGACAUUAUUGAAGUGAUCAAGUGAAUAGGAAGAAAUUAAGAAGUUAUCUAAUAUUAUUUAUAUAGGACAAAGAUCAUGUGUGGUGUCAGUUUGAUCAGUUCCUUCAUCCCUGGGUCAGUUUGAUUUAUUUUAAUUUUUACAGUGAUGUACCUAGGGUUCAAAUAAAACUUGGCUCGGGCUCAGAGCCCAACGAGCCGAGCCGAGCUCGGUAAGAGGAGUAUAAUAAAAAAAAAAUUAUAUUUGAAGAGAAUGAGGAUAUAGCUUAGAUAGUAAAGUACUUAUUUAGUAUGGGAGAGGUUGUGUGUUUGAUACCCUACUCUUCCAAAAUAUUUAUUUUAACCUGCAAUUUCAGGUUAAGUUCGAGCUCGAGCCCGACUUUGCGAGCUCAGGCUCAUGAGUUUCGAGCCCGAGCCCGGCCGAGCCUUGGCAAAUCAUUAACGAGCCCGAGCUCAGCCAAACCAGGCUCGGCUAGCUCGAGCCCGAGCCCGGCUCAAUAAGCCAAAGCUCGGCUCGUUUGGCACCCUAGAUGCAUCGAACAUGAGGAGUUUGAUGGUCUGAAAAAUGAAUGGAAUGUCUAUUUUUCUACAUGAAACUACCUGAAAUAAACCCCAAAAUAAUGAAGUUGAUUUCAGCUUGGAAUCUUCGACUUGCCUCUGGUCCAAAUCCUUCGAUUCAACGUAGCUAAGGUCGAUGAUAUACAUCACGGGUCCUGCAUUUAUUUUCAAUAGUGAGUUAGCAAUGUUGUAAUAUAUAUUUGUCAAAUUACCCAAGAUCCAAUGCAUCUAAAUUUUGACAAUAUUAUAGUAGAAAUGUUUACCUUCGAGUGAUUUAUCAGAGUCAUAUAAUUUAUUACUGGUUGAAAAUUUAAUAAAAAUAAGUAUACAUGCAAGACUGAAAGGCUGAACUCUCAUAAACCUUAACAAUUACUUUGAUCAAUUGACUUGAUCUUUUUUUUUUAAUUUUCAUGUGAUGCUAGAUGUCAAGUUGUUAUAUUUUAUCAUAUUGCGUAUUCAUUAAUGUUAUCUUGAAUUUAUAUCAAGGCAGAGAAGCAAACAACAAGAUCUAAAGCUAACUUGCAGAGUUGCAGAUGACUGAAGAAAUCGAAAAAACUAGAGUCCAGGAAAUCGCAGAGAGAACCAAUGGAUCACCACCAAAGUGUUUCAUCCAAAGAGAAUCAAACCGGCCAGUAUUAGACGCUUCUCUUGCCGCAAUUCCAAUCAUCGACCUCAGCUAUGAAGAAUCAAAGGAUUUAGAACAAAGGGAAAUUGAAGAUUCCAAGCUGAGAUCUGCUUCAUCAUCUGGGGAGUUAUUCUAUGUAAGUAAACCACCAUAUAUAUAUAUAUAUUUACAAUUAAGUAAUUAACACAUCUUAUAUUUUAUUUUUAUUUUUCAAUCAGGUUUUGGGACAUGGAAUACCAACUUCUCUUAUCGACGAGGUUCGAAAUAUCACAAGGUCGUUCUUCAAUCAACCGAAACAACCACUGAAAGAGAAGCUGAGCUACACUUCUGAUAUGCCUAAUCCAUAUUUUUCAGAGGGAUAUGAAACUGAUGUUGUUGUAUCCAAUGAGCAGAUUUUGGAUUGGAAUGAUAAAUUGCUACUCAAUGUUUACCCUGAGGAAGAGAGGAAUAUGGAUCUUUGGCCUCAGAAGCCAGAAUCAUUCAGGUAUUUAAAUUUAUUUUGCUCGAUCACUGGCCGGUUAUUUAUCGAUUAAUUUCUGCUUGUUCUAAUUUACAGGGAAGUGGUUAAUGAGUUUAACGAAAAGAUAUUGAUUUUAGUAGAUGUGAUCUUCAAAGCAUUAGCUAGAAGUUUAGGAUUGGAUGAGGUUUACUUCAUUAACAACGGAUCGAAAGGAAGAAUUCCUUGGAGAUUUAACUAUUACCCUCCUUGCUCUAAACCAGAUCUUGUACUUGGUAUGAAACCCCAUUCAGAUGGAUCGUCUUUCACGAUUAUUUUACAAGAUGAUCAAGUAUCUGGGCUUCAAGUGUUUAAUAACCAAUUAGGUUGGCUAAAUGUUCCUGUUCUUCCAUAUGCUCUGCUUGUCGUCUUAGGAGAUGAAAUCGAGGUAAUUCAGUAAAAUGACUUGUUUAAUCUUUAUGCAUGUAAUUUUGAUCCAAUUGUUCUGAAUUUCUUUUACAGAUAAAAACCAAUGGGCAGUAUAAGAGUGUCAUGCACAAGGUUGUCACCAAUUCUGAAAAGGAGAGAAUAUCUCUGUCUAUGUUUAUUCUUUCUGAACUAAAGAAUGAAAUUGGUCCCAUUGAUGAGUUGAUAGAAGAUGGAAAACCUAAGUUAUACAAAUCGACAACUGCAAAAGAUUAUGGAGCCGACUUCUUCGUAAAAUUCUCACAAGGGAUUAGGCCUCUUGAUUCCAUGAGAAUUUGAUAUCGUUUCUUGAUGUUCUCCAUGCAAGAACGCAUUUGUAAUUUGACAGUGCAAUAUAUAAUAUCAUUAAUGGAAAUGUUGUAAAUUUCACCUGGACAUUAGCUAUUCAGGAUCCAGGUCCAAAUCAGCCUGAACCAGAUCUGAAAAUAUUUGUAAUUAAUAUAAUAAAAAUAAUAUUAUUUAUUAAUUAUUAUAUUAAAUUAUAUAGAAAUAUUAAAAAAUUUAAACACUAAAGUAGGGGUGCCCCGGUGGUAACCAGGGGCGGGGCAGAAACCGUUUUUUAUUUUUGCCCCGUUGCCUCGGUCAUAUUUCAGGACAAGGCGAAACCCAGGUGGGUCGCCUAGGUUUCUAUAAAAAAAAUUAAAUAAAACCAUGGGCCUGUAGGCCUGGGCCCUGGUAAGUGGUGGCAUUUAUUUUGUUAAUUUUAUAAUUAUUUAUAAUUGCUUAUCUUAUAAAUUAUAACAGUUCAUUUUUCAGGUUUAUAUAAAGUAUUUUAUAAACUUUAUAUUGCAAUUAUUUAUUUAUUUAUUUUGCAGCAGGGGUGGGUCGCCUCGGAUCCGCCCCAUUCCGCACCCCUGUCGCUGGGUCCGAGGCAGGUCUCGGGGCAGGGGGUAGGGUACCUGACCCUUUUCAGUUACAAAAACUUUAUGAAUUUUUUUAAUAAAACAAUAACGUUCCAUCUCUUUCCAUCGCUCAAAUCGCCUCCGACUAAAUCAAUCGAGUAAUCUGACCCUCCCAGCUCGCCUCCCGAUCCUCAACGACUUCAUCUCGAUCUACCGACGAUCUCUCCGGAUCCGAUUUCUCGUCCUGUUCCGCUGAAUUGAGCACUACCCCAAAUCAGCUUCACAACAGUGAUUUGGUAACGCUAAGACUCAAUAUCAGGAGUCUAUCUCCAUCGCGCGUUGCUUCGAACACCUGUGAUUGAUAUCGCGGAUCUGAGGUAACACCAAUCUACAGGUGAACUUGUUUCAUUUGUAAUGAUCCGAUUUAGCUUGUAUCAUUUGGUGCUUUCUUAAGUUGAACUCUAAUUUUUUUUCCAGAUGGCUAAUAACAUAGAUCUAUCAUCCAAUCUGGAUUUCCUACGUCUACAAGCAUUACAAAUGAAUCAGAUCAAGGAUAUUGGUGAACUGAGAAAUUCAGUGAACAACAAUUUCUUACAAUUGGAGAAAUAAGUAUUUGAUUUAUAUACCUGAAAAACCUCUCAACCAAGUAAAACAACCACUAAAUUACUACCAAUCAGUGGUAGAUCUGGACAAGCCUAGCUACACACUAUCAGUUUUGGAGGAUCCUAGCUACACACUAGCUAAGCAUAUUAAGAUAAAUAUGCUAAGGUUUGAUGGCACUGAAGCAGAGCACUGUCUUUAUUCUAUAAGAAGAUAUUUCGUAUUCAAUAAAGUACCCGAAGACCAAAAAUUAUUAAUAGUUUCAUUCAUAGUUCAAAAAGCGACGCUUAAGCGUCGCUUUAAGCGAAAAUAGCGGCAAAGCGGUUUUUUUGGACCGCUUUGCCAAACGCUUUCUUUAACCGCUUUAGCUAAAUAGCUAAAGAUAUAUCUGUUUAUAUUUAGCUAAGAUAACCGCUUUAGCUAUUUAGGGUUAUAUAUAGCUAAACCGCUUUAACCGCUUUAAGCGACGCUAAAGCGGUUAAAGCUAAAAAAGCGCUCCCUGGAAAUUGGGAGCGCUUUCCGCUUUUUCGAACUAUGGUUUCAUUUAAUCUGGAUAGGAUAGCCAGAAAAUGGUUUGCUUGGCUAGAAGCAAGCAACAUGCUAUCUACAUGGCCAAAUUUUGUAGAUGCAGAAGUGAGAAAAUUCACCACACUACACUAUCAAUUACCUGGAGGCAAGUUAAGUAAACUCAUACAAGAAGGAACAGUUGAAGAGUAUCAAAACUUAUUUCAAGAGAUGUCUACAAGGGUGUUGGGGCUCCCUGAAUACUUUAUACUUGAAAUAUAUAUAUCUGGUUUAAAAGAAGAAAUACAGGCAGAUGUGAUACUGGGAAAGCCUAAUGACAUUCAUGAUGCAUUUGAGCUUUCAAUUAUGAUUGAAGCAAGGAGGGAAGGGUACAGUAAAUCACCUACCUAUAAACCCUAUGCUCAUAAACCCUUCACCAAAACUAACUCCUACUAUGGUCAUCAACAAAACAGGAGUGAAACAAUUACUGAAAAACCAAACACAUCAACAACAGAUAUACCUACAACAAAGAGGCUAUCAACAUCUGAGAGAGUUGAAAAGAGAAGCAAAAGUCUUUACUUCAACUGCGAUGAGAAAUUUUCUGUUGUCAUAACAACGUAUGUGUGGGCAGAAAGGGAAAGUUGUUUAGAAUGUCUGCAGAUCAAUUUGAGUUAGUCGAAAUUGAAGAACAAGAUGAUAAUGAAAAUAAUGAGCUGGAAUCUAAUGAUGAAACUAUUGAUAGAGGCAGGGCUGAAAUCUCUCUCCAUGCAUUCGAAGGUAACAUUAGUUCUAGCACACUCAGAGUUGAAGGAUUUAUUAAAUGUCAGUCAGUUAGUGUAUUGAUAGAUUCAGGAUCCAGCCACAAUUUUAUGCAAACUGAUGUGACAAUAGCAUUAAAACUGUCUGUAUUAGUAAUCACACCAUUCUAUGUGUCAACUGGCAGUGGUGAGAAAUUAAUAUGCAAUAGAAUGUGUAAUGGUGUUGAGAUCAAGAUCCAAGGUAAUUUUAUUAUAAUGGAUAUAUUUCUAAUCCAUAUGGCAGGUUCUAAUAUGGUUAUUGGGGCACAAGGCCUAAAAACAUUUGGCCCGGUCACAUUCAACUUUGAAAAAUCUACUAUGGAGUUUACUUUAGGUGAUAAGAAAGUCAUAUGGGAAAGAUUGCUCUGGGUUUCAGAUAAUCCAUUGACAGUGAGACAACUAAAAUGUUUAAUUGCGUCUACACAAGAAGCCUACCUCUGUUAUCUAGAAAGGGCUGACAAUAAUGAACCUACUGCUGUAUUGGAAAACAAAAUUCCAUAAAUAACUAAAGUGGUCAAAGAAUACUGUGAUCUCUUUGAAGAACCACAGAGAAGAAAAUCAUUCAAUUCACUUGGAUCUAGGGUCAAAAUCAGUGAAUGUAAGACCAUAUAGGUACCCACAAUUUCAGAAAUCUGAAAUUGGAAAGCUAAUUUCUGAAAUGUUAAAACAAGGGAUAAUAAAACCAAGUUUUAGCCCAUAUCCAACCCCUGUUUUGCUAGUAAAAAAGAAAGAUGGUGGGUGUCGUUUAUGUGUGGAUUAUAGAGCAUUGAAUGCUCUAACAAUCAAGGAUAAGUUCCCUAUCCCUACUGUUGAUGAAUUAUUAGAUGAACUAAAGGGAUCAACAAUUUAUUCUAAGCUAGAUUUAAGAUCUGGAUUUCACCAAAUCAGAAUAAAUCCUAACCACACUGAAAAGACUGCAUUUAGAACUCACCAAGGACACUUUGAAUUCUUGGUAAUGCCCUUUGGAUUAACCAAUGCUCGUGCAACAUUCUAGUCUGUUAUGAACAGAAAAUUCAAACAAUCAACAGCCAUUAAUAUCAGUGGAUAAUGACUCUAUCAUUUAUCCUAUUUCUAUAUUAGGCAAAAGAACAAUUCACAAGGGAGGCAGAGAAUGAAAAUAGGUACUUAUCUUGUGGAAUGGGGCCAUCCCUGAAGAUUCAACAUGGGAGUUUGAAGACGACGUGAAGAACCUAUACCCUUCUAUCAACAUUGAAGACAAUGUCGAUUCUGGAGAAGGCGAUGAUGAUACGAAUAUCAUUGAUGCAGAGGCUGUCCAAGCGGAUGUGGAGAAGAUUAGAAUCGCCGCGAGUGCCGGUGACCUAGCGGACGAGCCAACAUCGUUGAACAAUCACGGACCGGGUCCAAACAGGAAGUUUUUAAGGGUGAGCUGUCCCUGGAUGGACUAAGGAUUACGAUUUGGGAAAUUCGUACAAUCCCUAAAUCAAUUGGAAAUUUUACAAUUCGGAUCCUAAGUAGUUUAAAUUUCAAAUAAAUUGUAAUCAUAUAAAUAGGAUUUUUCAGUUACAGAAACUUUAUGAAUUUUUUUAAUGAAAUAGUAACGUUUCAUUUCUUUCUAUCGCUCAAAUCGCCUCUGACUAAAUCAGUCGAGUAAUCCGACCCUCUCAGCUCGCCUUCCGAUCAGCUUCAUCUCGAUCUACCGGCGAUCUCUCUGGAUCUGAUUUCUCGUCAUGUUCCGCCGAAUUGAGCACUGGCCCAAAUCAGCUUCACACCCGUUAUUUGGCAACGCUAAGACUCAAUAUCAGGAGUCUAUCUCCGUCGCGCGCUGCUACGAACACCUGUGAUUGAUAUCGCGGAUCUGAGGCAACACCAAUCUACAGGUGAACUCGUUUCAUUUGUAGUGAUCCGACUUAGCUCGUAGCAAAUGACUUAUGAAACUAAUGUUGAAUUUAUUUGGAUGGCAUCAAUUGAGGAUGAAGAUAUUGAAGAAGUAAUUACUGAGAUGAUACAAACCCUACUAAUUGGCACAUGUGGUAUAUUUCAGGCCCUACAAUCCCAAUAAUUAGGAUCGGGUAUAACCCACUGGGUUCACCGCGUCCCCAAGAACACAUAUGUUCUUGUAUAAAUAGAAUUUCUAUUAAUGAACAAAAGGAGACAUUUAAUGAACUUAACAUUGAGCACACAUUUGAGUGGAAGUGACCUAAGCACACCCCAAUUAAUGAAAUUGAUUACUCUCUUAAUCUCUUGCAAACAGUGAAAACGGUUUAUAUUUACAGUUAGGUCGAAAAAGCUUAACUUUGUUCCUCUUUCUUGGUCACCCAAUUCCGGUGACAUUCCAACGACGCAUACAUUCAUCUUAGCUAAUAUCGGCGCUACGUAGAUUUAGUAAUAUUAUUAUCGUUUAAUGAUACAUUCAGAUGCAUUAUUACAUUUUUCAGACUCUUAUGGCAUCAAUAGAGUAUUUUCCAUUUGCGAAAUUCGCCAUAACACCAUCUUGAUAAUUUUUCACAGUAGUCGUCUUGUACAACUUAGGUUUUCCAUCUUCUAUCAACUCAUCAAUGGGGCCAAGUACAUUCUGUAGAUUAGAAUGAACGAACAUCGACAGAGAUAUUCUUUCCUUUUCAGAGUUGGUGACAACCUUGUGUAAGACAUUCUUAUAUUGUCCAUUUGUCAUAAUCUGUAAAAAAAAUGUUCAUUGAUUGAACCAAAUUAAUCAUCAUAUUUUGAUAUUUGAAUUCAGUCACACUCACUUCUAAGGUAGUUUGAUUAGAAAAAAAUGGUAAAAGAUCUCUAUUACAUGGAUGUGAUUUACUAUUUAUUAUACAUUAUUAGGAUUGAUGAAAUCUUUGUAGACUUCCCUGUACUUAAUCGGUCUACAACCCAAUUCAAUACCUUAUAUAGAUGGAGAAAAAAUCAUAAUACAUACCUGAAUUUCAUCGCCUAAGAUGACAACCAGAGCGUCUGGACGAAUAGGAACUUUUACCCAACCAAAUUCAUCGUUAAAAACUUCAAGCCCAGACACUUGGUCAUCUUGCAGUAUAAUUGUUAUAGACGUCGCAUCUGAAUGGGGUUUCAUACCAAGUAUAAGAUCAGCUUUAGAGCAAAGAGGGUAAUAGUUAAAUCGCCAAGUAAUUAAUCCUUUUAUUCCGUUGUUAACGAAGUAAAACUCAUCCAAUCCCAAGCUCCUUGCUACUGCUUUGAAGAUCUCAUCCAUUAUAAUCAUCACCUUUUCGUUAAACUCAAACAUCUUCUCCCUGACAACAAAAUAAAGUCGAAUUUGAUCAAUAAUAAUGAGAAAUAUAAUGUUCGUUUAAUUUGCGUAUAUACUUGAAUGAUUCUGGAUUUUGUGGCCAAAGAUCCAUCUUCCUCCCCUCCUCUGGGUGAACAUUGAGAUACAAUUUAUCAUUCCAAUCGAGUAUCUGUUCAUCUGAUAAAACAGGAUCGCUGCCAUAUCCCUCUUUAAACUCAUAAAUCUUCGAAUCAGCAAUAGUGUAGUUUUGUUUCUCUUUGGGUGGUAGUUUGAAGAACAACCUCUGAACGUUUCGAACCUCGUCCAUAAGAGAAGUUGGUAUUCCAUGCCCAAUUACCUGAGUGCGAUAAAUAAAUAUAUUAUACAUAUAACUUGAGUAGUUUGAUGGACUGAAAAAUGAAUGGAUUAAUGUUUAUUUCUUCAUGAAAUAACUACCUGAAAUAAACCCCAAAAUGAUGAAGCUGAUUUCAGCUUGGAAUCUUCGACUUGCCUCUGGUCCAAAUCCUUCGAUUCGACGUAGCUGAGGUCGAUGAUAGGAAUUCUACCAAGGGGAGAUUCUAAAUUUGGCCGAUCAGAUUCAUUUCGGAUGAAACGCUUAGUCGGUGAGCCGUCGUUCUUCAAUGCAAUCUCUUGAUCCUUUUCGAUUAAAUCCGCCAUGAUCUGCUAGCUAGCUUCACUUUACUUCGUUUGUUUAUUUCAAUAACAACGUAUAUAUCAGGGGCCUGCACUUAUUUUCAAUUAUUGAAGUAGUUGGGAAUAGUGAGUUAGCAAUAUUAUUAUAUAUUUUUUUUCAAAUUACCCAAGAUCCAAUGCAUCUAAAUUUUGACAAUAUUAUAGUAGAAAUAUUUAGGGAAGGAAUUAUCAGAACCACAUAAUAUAUUACUGGUUAUAUCGUAGUGAAAAUUAAAUAAAAAUAAGUAUACAUGCAAGACUGAAAGGCUAAUCCCUUAGAAACCUUAAUAGUUACUUUGAUCAAUUGAUCAGUUGAUCUUCCUGUUCAAUUCUGUACAAUCUAGUCUUUCAAUUCCUUCUUCGAUCUAUCAACUCGUCAACGGGGCCAAGUUCGUUCUCUAGUUCAAUUCAGAUAUAUAUAGGUGGAGAUUCAGAUAAAAUACCUUUAAAAAGAUAUCUCAUGAGAUAAUGAUACUGAUCUUCUAUUUUCUAAUUUUACUCUUGAGAUCUGUUCCACGUUUAUAAUAAAAAUAUAAAAUAAUAAGAACGGUGAGAUAAAAGUAUCUAAUGAGAUAUCUCAUUUGAAGUACAUCAUGAGAAUCGUUUCCUAUAUAUAUAUAGUUAGAAAAAACUUCAUACACUUUUUGUUAAUCCUCUUUGUGAGCUUUCUCAAUGAAAUAUUAUCAGUUCGUCCCUCGUUCAAAUCGAGAAUUUGAGACUCGGAAUUUGCAUUUUCAAUUUUCUUUGUAUCUUCAUGUGUCAACAUUUCGCGUAUCUCAAUAAAAAUAGAUGGUGAAAAUGAGGAGCUGAUAAAGAGCAUCAAUAUUAUUUUAAUACAGUAAUUUUCAGGUGUGUCGUACGUCGGUGUGCCAAAAUGCGUCGUACGCAUCCUGUCCUUUAAUUUUUAAUUCAAUAGUUAUAAUAAUGUAUUGCAUAAAACACUAACACAUGUACGAUGAAAAAAAUAUACAACAAAAAAGACACUAACUCAUGUACGACGAAAUAUCGAUCUAAUGGUCAAAAUUUUUUGACGCAUUGAAAUUUGACGCAUAGAAAACCUGCCUUAUUUUAAUACUACUUUCAACACACUAUUGAUAUCAAAAUCUAAAGAGAUAAAAAUGCUCAUUGGUUCACGGGCACAUUGAAAAAUAUAUAAUAUAAUAUUGCAAUGGAUCUAAAAAUCUCUAAUCCUGAAUAGUUCUGGUGAUACAGUAUCCCGAACCCGGUCACAACUUACCAGCAACUAGAAGUCCGGAUAGUCUGAGAUGAGUUGAGGUACCUAUUCUGGGAUUGGGGAGGUCCCAAGUCGAAUCCUAGGAAGAUCGACUUUCCCAAGGAUCGACUUCCCUGGAAUCGACUUUUGAACAAAGUUGAACCCCAGGAAAGUCGGAUCCCAAGAAAGUCGAUCUCUGGAAAGUCAACUUUGGGUUCUAAUCUGAUCAGUUAGGCAGUUAGGCAGUUACUUCCCAAAUGACCAGAUUACCCCCAUGAGAAUCCCUAUAAAUAGGAGGCACCUCCAUUCAUUAAAGGCAGGUCAUUUGGAGUGGAGAAGUCCUAGCGAAGCGAAGCUCUGCGCACUUGAGUUCCGGUCCGAUUUCCCGCGGAGUUCCCCACCUGGCGCUUGCUGAAGCGUCUUGGAGUACUGGUCGGGUUCCACCCUCAUCAAAACCCCAUUCAGAUGCACCCAGACACUUGGUCAUCUUGCAGUAUAAUUGUUAUAGAAGCCGCAUCUGAAUGGGGUUUUGAUGAGGGUGGAACCCGACCAGUACUCCAAGACGCUUCAGCAAGCGUCAGGCGGGGAACUCCGCGGGAAAUCGGACCGGAACUCAAGUGCGCAGAGCUUCGCUUCGCUAGGACUUCUCCACUCCAAAUGACCUGCCUUUAAUGAAUGGGGGGUGCCUCCUAUUUAUAGGGAUUCUCAUGGGGAUAAUCUGGUCAUUUGGGAAGUAACCGCCUAACUGAUCAGAUCAGGACCCAAGGUCGACUUUCCAGAGAUCGACUUUCUUGGGAUCCGACUUUCCUGGGGUUCGACUUUGUUCAAAAGUCGAUCCCAGGGAAGUCGAUCCUUGGGAAAGUCGAUCUUCUUAGGAUUCGACUUGGGACCUCCCCAAUCCCAGAAUAGGUACCUCAAUUCAUCUCAGGCUAUCCGGACUUCUAAUUGUUGGUAAGUUGUAACCAGGUUCGGGAUACUGUAUCACCAGUACUCCCCCCUCCUCUGCGUAUUAGAUAUCUUGGGAUACGUCUUUUAGUACUAUGGUCUAUGUGUUGGACCCUGUAUUAUCAGUAUUCCCCCUCUUUGCGUGCUAGGGUGUGGGCUAUCGGUGAUGUCCUGGGAUGCGAGAUCUUCUCUCACCAGCUCUCCCCCCCUUCUACGACCGUGAGGUUAUACCUAUGCUUCCAUGGAGGUUGUCCCAUACUUUUGCUAACUACUGUCCGGUUUGUCCUAGCCGAAGCAUUCUCCUUGCGCAGCUUGCCUAACCCGAUUUUCGAGCGGAACCCUGCUUGCCCACCUUGACGCUUUGCUGAGCUGUCUCCGAGCAAUGUUCGAGUACCUCUCCCCUCUUCUGUGUUUGGAGUUGAGUGUUGUCCCUUCUACCUAUUUGUUUUUAUAGGUGAAGUUCUCUUUUGAACUCUUGCCGCCUCCUUCUGCCCGCUGUUUCCGUGGCUGAGGUUGAGCGUAGUCCUUUGUCUACCUAUGUACUUCCAUAGGUGAGGUUCUCUUUUGAACUCUUUCCCCCUCCUUUUUCCCGCUUCUUUCGUGGUUGAGGUUGAGCGUAGUCCCUCGUCUACCUAUGUACUUCCAUAGGUGAGGUUCUCUUUUGAAGUCUUGCCCCCUCCUUCUGCCCGCUGCUUCCGUGGCUGAGGUUGUCAUUUGUAGACUUGUUCCUCGUCUACCUAUGUUCUUCCAUAGGUGAGGUUCAUUCUUGAACAAAUACCCCUCUGUCUACGUUCUUCUGUAGAAGGAGUCAGUGUCUUACUGAUGUGUCCCCCGUCUACCUACGUUCUUUCGUAGGUGGGGUUUAUUUUUGAACACUUAUCCCUUCGUAGGCGGGAUGUGUGUGCUGUUGCUGUAUCCCUCAUCUACCUAUGCUCUUCCAUAAGUGAGGUUUACUUUCGAAUACUUACCCUUCUAUCUACGUUCUUCCAUAGGUGGGGUGUAUGUUUUGCCAGUGUGUCCCCCGUCUACCUACGUUCUUCCGUAGGUGAGGUUCACUUUUAAACACUUACCCCUUUCUAGGUGGGGCGUGCGUUUUGCCGAUGUGUCCCCCGUCUACCUACGUUCUUCCGUAGGUGAGGUUCACUUUUGAACACUUACCCCUCUGUCUACGUUCUUUUGUAGAUAGGGCGUGUGUUUUGCCGAUGUAUCCCCCGUCUACCUACGUUCUUCCGUAGGUGAAGUUCACUUUUGAAUACUUACCCCUUUUUAGGUGGGGCGUGCGUUUUGCCGAUGUGUCCCCCGUCUACCUACGUUCUUCCGUAGGUGAUGUUCACUUUUGAACACUUUCCCCUCUAUCCACGUUCUUCCGUAGAUUGGGUUAAGUUUUUUUUUUUGGUGUGUCCCUCGACUUACCUACGUUCUUCCGUAGGUGAGGUUCACUUUUGAAUACUUUCCCCUCUAUCAACGUUCUUCCGUAGAUUGGGUUAAAUUUUUUCGGUGUGUCCCUCGACUACCUACGUUCUUCCGUAGGUGAGGUUCACUUUUGAACACUUCCUCUUUUAGCCUAUGUUCUUUUGUAGGUGGGCGUGUGUCGUGUUCCCCGUCUACCCGCGUUCUUCCGUGGGUGGAGUUUGCUUUUGAACACUUCCCCUUUUAGCCUCCGUUUUUAGUAGGUGAGUGUGUGUCGUGUUCCCCGUCUACCCGCGUUCUUCCGUGAGUGGGGUUUACUUUUGGAUACUCGCCCUUCUGUCUACGUUUUUUGUGUAGAUGUGGUGUGUGUUGUGUUCCCCGUCUACCCGCAUUCUUCCGUGGGUGGGGUUUACUUUUGGAUACUCGCUCUUUUGUCUACGUUUUUUAUAUAAAUGUGGUGAGUGUUUCUGGAUGGGGUACGCGUCCUGACCUUGUUACUACUAAAACUUUCUCCACCUACGUUCUUCCGUGGGUAGAGUUAACUUGGCGUCCUACUCUAUUACUGUGUUCAGCAUUUGUAGGAGUUCAAAUAUUUUAGAGUGGCACAGUUCAUUCUAUUGCCAUACCGUCAUCGAUAUUAUUCUUCCUUAGUUGUGUGAUCGUAAAGCUUCUGUAUCUUUCGGGUCCUUUCUGUUGUUAUGCGGAUUUCCGGGGUAUUUUUCCUAGACCCACUGCCUUGGUGAACUUCCACAAUAUUUCAGGAGUAUUUUUCCUACACCCCCUGCCUUGGUGAAUUUCGAGAUGUCAGGAGUGUUUUUCCUACACCCCCUGCCUUGGUGAAUUUCGAGAUGUCAGGAGUGUUUUUCCUACACCCCCUGCCUUGGUGAACUUCCACAAUAUUUCAAGAGUAUUUUUCCUACACCCCCCUGCCUUGGUGAAUUUCAACAUGUCAGGGUUUUUUUUUCUACACCCCCCCUUGUGUUGGUGAAUGGGGAGAAAAAGUUGAUCCCCCGUAAUGUUAAUUGAUUUUUGUGGAAAAGUCGAUCCGGAUAUUGCCUUUCAACUCUUACAGAAAAGUCGAUCCCUUGGGUCCUCGUGUUGACUCUUUUGUAAAAGUCGAUUCCUGGUGUUGGCCAAAAAAGUCGAGUUGUCGUGCUGGCCUUGGAAGGGUCGUCCUCCUGGUCAUUUUUAUUCUAUUUUUGUCCUUUUGUGCGGACCUGGGGUCUAUAAAUAGACCCUUUAAGUUCUCCUUUCCCUUCAUCCAUGGCUCUUCUUGUGAGUCUCUUUGCUGAUUUUAUUCAGGGAGAGAUUGAGGAGCUGAAUCGAAUUUUCAAUAUUUUGGAUCAUCGGUCUUUGGCCUUGGAUCUUCCUGCUCUGCGCCAAAUUAUUGUUGAGCGGCAGAGUGUUGAGGUUGCAGCUAGGGAAUCAAUCUUUGAAGAAUGGUCUGUUGGUGGCCUACCGAUUAUGGCUUCCCCUGCCGCCCCCUCUUAUGGUCGGCGCCGGAGGCGUCAUUGACGUGAUGGUUCUUCCCCUAAUCAGGUCCCUCGUCGCCGUAUUAAUUUUAACUAAGGACUUGUAAUCUUUUCAUUCUUUUACUUGUAACUCUGAAUAAAGAUAUUUUCCCUUCUUUACAUCUGUUUUACACCUUUGCUCUGAAGCACGUCGGUGUGCUCUGCGGGUAUACUUUGUCCUUUUUCUAAGGAUUUCAUUCAUGGAGAUCGAUUUUUUCUAAGAUGUCGAUUCCUUAAAGUCGAUGUUGUCUGUUGAUCGAUUUCAUCCUUUUCUGAAGAUGCCAAAGUUUAUACAGAAAGUCGAUCCCAUCCUUCUCUGAGGAUGUCGAUAUCUUAUAAAAGUCGAUCUCACCUUUUUCUGAGGAUGUCGAUGCUGUGUAAAAGUCGACUCUAUCCUUUUUUGAGGAUGUCGAAGUUUAUAUGAAAGUCGACUCUUUCCUUCUCUGAGGAUGUCGAUGUCCUAUACAAGUCGACUCUAUCCUUUUCUGAGGAUGUCGAUUUGAUUACUUGUGGAAUGUCGACUCUAUCCUUCUCUUGUGGAGGAUGUCUAUGUCCAUAUGAAUGUCGACUCUAUCCUUCUCUGAGGAUGUCGAAGUUGGUACUUGAGGAAUAUUGACUCUAUCCCCUUUUUUUUAUGGAGGAUGUCGAAGUUGGUACUUGAGGAAUAUUGACUCUAUCCCCUUUUUUUUUAUGGAGGAUGUCGAUAGUUGCCUUUUCUACAGAAUGUCGACUCUAUCCUUUUUUGAGGAUGUUGAUGUUUAUUUUUGAAAAAAUGUCGAGAUUUUCUCCUUUUUCCAUAGGGAUGUUAAUCUCUAACUUCCGAAAAAUAUCAAGAUCUGCCCUCCUUUCAUAGGGAUGUCGAUCUCUGACUUCUGAAAAAAUGCUGAGAUCUACCCUCCUUUCCUAGGGAUGUCGAUCUCUGACUUCUGAGAACAUGUCGAGAUCUGCCCUCCUUUUCUAGGGAUGUCGAUCUCUGACUUCUGAGAACAUAUCGAGAUCUGCCCUCCUUUUCUAGGGAUGUCGAUCUCUGACUUCUGAGAACAUGUCGAGAUCUGCCCUCCUUUUCUAGGGAUGUUGAUCUCUGACUUCUGAAAACAUGCCAAGAUCUGCCCUCCUUUCAUAGGGAUGUCGAUCUCUGACUUUUGAGAACAUGUCGAGUCCUCCCUUUCAGAGGAUGGGUUUGACUUCUUAUUGUCAACUUCUUUAGUUGACUUCUUUUUGAAGUGUUUUACGGACUUCUUUUGGGAGCUUUCUUAAAAUUGUUUUUUAACUCCUACUUUGUUUCUCGCAGCUUCUUGCUACCAUGUCCUCCAAAAAUGACUUUGUUCAGGUUAUCCCUGUUAUCGGUGGUGGUUAUAUUUCUAUAUAGGUGUAUGGUUCCAUCGUUACUUGGAUUAACGCGGAAGCAGCGGGAUCCUGGUUGGAGUUCUUUUCCUACCAUAUAUGGUCCUUCCCAACUUGUGCCUAGUUUGCCUUUGGAGCAUCUUUUUCGAUUGAUGCUUGCUCUUCUCAAUACUAGGCUUCCUUUUCUUAUCGCUUUAUCCUUGACGCUCUUGUCAUGACAUCUAGCGAUAUUUUGUUCGUAUGCCGCAUUCUUUGCCUGUGCAUUAUCCCGUAGCUCAUCCACUAAGUUCAGAGCUGUCGCAUAUGAUCUCACGUUCUCCUGCGUGUCAUAGGUCAAUACUCUGACUGUUGGGAUGCUAAGCUCUGUUGGGAUUAGUGCUUCCAUUCCGCAUGCUAGUGAGAACGGAUUUUUCUCAGUGGGUGUUUUUUCAGUAGUUUUGUAUGCCCACAGGAUCUCCGGUAGUAAAUCUGCCCACGCACCUUUGGCUUGUUCGACCUUUUUCUUCAGUCCCUGAACAAUGGUCCUGUUUUUGACUUCUACUUGUCUAUUACCCUGUGGUCUAUACACUGAUGAAAAAUGGAUUUUGGUGUCCAUGUUCUCGCACAAUCUCGUGAACUCCCCACCAGUAAACUGUGUUCCGUUAUCUAUCACUAUGUGCAUGGGAAUGCCGGAUCUGCACGUUAUGCAUUUGAAGACAAAUUUCGUUGCUACACCUUGUGUUAUCUUGGGUACCGUUAAGGUUUCAACCCAUUUGGGUCAGAGACCUUCCUCCCUGGUGUAUUCCGCAUACCCCCGAUGGAUCUUCUCUACAAUGAAUUGUCCUUCAUCUGCUGAGACACACUUCAUUAGAGGCCUAUCGUAGGAUUUUUUGUACAGAAUGUCCCUGAUUAGGCNNNNNNNNNNNNNNNNNNNNNNNNNNNNNNNNNNNNNNNNNNNNNNNNNNNNNNNNNNNNNNNNNNNNNNNNNNNNNNNNNNNNNNNNNNNNNNNNNNNNNNNNNNNNNNNNNNNNNNNNNNNNNNNNGUGUGGAUGCUGAGUCAACCAGUAUCUCUCUCUGCCCCCCUUUGAAAGCGGAUGCUAGCUUUUCCAGGGCAUCAACUGAGUUGUUGUGACUCCUUGGUAUUUGUUCUAUUUCCACCCUGUUAAAUUGCAACUUUAUUUUUUCUAUUGUAGCUGCUUACUGCAUGAUUAGAGGUUCUUUGACUGUAAACUCCCCUGUGAACUGCCAAGCUACUAGUUGAGAGUCUGUUCUGAUGAUUACUGAACAAGCCCCUGAUUUUUUGAGUAUUUUCAUGCCCUGGAUUACAACCUCGUAUUCUGCUAUAUUGUUUGUAGCUGAGAAUUGUAAUCUGAUGGAGUGUUCGUAUAUCUUUUGGUCCGGGGUGAUUAUUUUUAUUCCUAGCCCUGCACCAGUACUGCAGCUUGAGCCAUCAACCUUUAUCAUCCAAGGUUUCUUAUUACUUUCCUGAGUCAAAUCCACAAUAAAGUCUUCUACAGCCUGCCCUUUAAUGGCAGUGGCAGGGACAAAAUCUAAAUCAAACCUGCUUAACUCCAGAGCCCACUUCGUCAGCCUUCCGGAAGUGUCUGGUCUGUGGAGUAUUCUGCAUAAUGGAUGUUUUGUCAAGACUUUGAUUGUGUGAUUCAGGAAGUAUGCUCGAAAUCUGUGUGUUGCUUGGGUUAUUGUCAGGACUAUUUUUUCCACUGGGGGUAUCGUGUUUCUGCCCCCUGAAACAUUUGUCCAUACUAUCAUCCUUGUUAUGCGGUACUAUUAAUAUGGUAGUGGGUGUUUGCUGAGGAUUAUGAAGAAUCCGAUAUUAUCUCUGUCCCAUUCUCACCCCCCUAUGAAAAUUGAGCCACGUACCUUUGGUUUUUGGCGACACUAACCCCCUUCCUAGGAAAAGUCGACUUCAAAAGGCUAUCCCCCUCCUGGGAAAAAGUCGAUUUCAAAAUGUCUAUCCCCCUCUUGGGAAAAGUUGACUUCAAAAUGUCUAACCCCAUUCUUGGAAUCAACUUUAAAAAGUCUAACCCCAUUCUUCGGAAAAAGUCGACUUGAAAAUGUCUAACCCAAUUCCUGGGAAAAAGUCGACUUCAAAAAGUCUAUCCCAAUUCUUGGGAAAAAGUCUAACCCCAUUCUAAAAGUCGACUUGAAAAAGUCUAUCCCAAUUCUUGGGAAAAAGUCUAACCCCAUUCUUGGAAUCAACUUAAAAAAGUCUAACCCCAUUCUUGGGAAAAAGUCGACUUGAAAAUGUCUAACCCAAUUCCUAGGAAAGAGUUGACUUCAAAAAGUCUAUCACAAUUCUUGGGAAAAAAUCGACUUGAAAAUGUCUAACCCAAUUCCUGAACAAGUCGACUUCUGGAAGAGCUUUUCCUGAAAGCUGAGGAACUCGACUUUUUUGAAGAAAAGUCGAGUUUAAGACCUUAGUCGGAUCCUGAGUUGGAGAAGCAGCCUCCCUUCAGAAGAGUUGACUUUGCUCUGGGGAAAAGUCGGACCCUUUUUUCCAGCAAAAGUCGAUUCUUGUGCACUUGGGGACUUCCCCAAAAGUCGUAGCCUGGAAGUGUAGCUCCUUGAGGGAUCGACUUUUAUCCUGGAGAGAGAAAAAGUCGAUCCUUUGCCGAGCUGAUUUCCUCUCAAGACUCCCUGGCUGGUGACUUGGAAAAAAAUCGAACCCUUUUUUCACAAAAGUCGAGGAACUUUUGUCGUGAGUAACUUUGAAUCACAGACGGCGCCAACUGAUGAGGGUGGAACCCGACCAGUACUCCAAGACGCUUUAGCAAGCGCCAGGCGGGGAACUCCGCGGGAAAUCGGACCGGAACUCAAGUGCGCAGAGCUACGCUUCGCUAGGACUUCUCCACUCCAAAUGACCUGCCUUUAAUGAAUGGGGGGUGCCUCCUAUUUAUAGGGAUUCUCAUGGGGGUAAUCUGGUCAUUUGGGCAGUAACUGCCUAACUGAUCAGAUCGGGACUCAAGGUCGACUUUCCAGAGAUCGACUUUCUUGAGAUCCGACUUUCCUGGGGUUCGACUUUGUUCAAAAGUCGAUCCUUGGGAAAGUCGAUCUUCCUAGGAUUCAACUUGGGACCUCCCCAAUCCCAAAAUAGGUACCUCAACUCAUCUCAGGCUAUCCGUACUUCUAGUUGCUGGUAAGUUGUGACCGGGUUCGGGAUACUGUAUCACCAGUACUCUCCCCUCUGCGUAUUAGAUAUCUUGGGAUACGUCUUUUAGUACUAUGGUCUCUGUGUUGGACCCUGUACUAUCAGGUUUCAUACCAAGUACAAGAUCAGGUUUAGAGCAAAGAGGGUAAUAGUUAAAUCGCCAGGUAAUUAAUCCUUUCGUUCCGUUGUUAACGAAGUAAAACUCAUCCAAUCCCAAGCUCCUUGCUACU